GUAGGUUCAAUAGGAGGAUACUUUUGUGUAUUUUGAUUUGUGUUGUUGCUAUGUUCAUCAGCAACCAGUAGUUCAAGUGCUGCAUAUUUGGAUUUCUCUUUGAUUUGUAUUGUUGUUAUGUUUAAUUAAAAUUGUCAAUGUAUGUGUGUCAUUUUGUAUCUAUGAUGUCAAUUGAAGCUUGUAUUAAUAUGCAACACUUCAUCAACAAC
rnacentral:lncRNA from 1 species